CUACGUGCCAGCAGCCGCGGUAAUACGUAGGUGGCAAGCGUUGUCCGGAAUUAUUGGGCGUAAAGCGCGCGCAGGCGGAUUGGUCAGUCUGUCUUAAAAGUUCGGGGCUUAACCCCGUGAUGGGAUGGAAACUGCCAAUCUAGAGUAUCGGAGAGGAAAGUGGAAUUCCUAGUGUAGCGGUGAAAUGCGUAGAUAUUAGGAAGAACACCAGUGGCGAAGGCGACUUUCUGGACGAAAACUGACGCUGAGGCGCGAAAGCCAGGGGAGCGAACGGGAUUAGAUACCCUGGUAGUCCACGCCGUAAACGAUGAGUGCUAGGUGUUGGAUCCUUUCCGGGAUUCAGUGCCGCAGCUAACGCAUUAAGCACUCCGCCUGGGGAGUACGACCGCAAGGUUGAAACUCAAAGGAAUUGACGGGGGCCCACACAAGCGGUGGAGUAUGUGGUUUAAUUCGACGCAACGCGAAGAACCUUACCAGGUCUUGACAU
rnacentral:rRNA from 1 species